rnacentral:rRNA from 1 species
CCUACGGGCGGCUGCAGUGGGGAAUAUUGGACAAUGGGGGCAACCCUGAUCCAGCCAUGCCGCGUGUGUGAAGAAGGCCCUCGGGUUGUAAAGCACUUUCAGUGAGGAAGAACGCCUGGUGGUUAAUACCCAUCAGGAAAGACAUCACUCACAGAAGAAGCACCGGCUAACUCCGUGCCAGCAGCCGCGGUAAUACGGAGGGUGCGAGCGUUAAUCGGAAUUACUGGGCGUAAAGCGCGCGUAGGUGGCUUGAUAAGCCGGUUGUGAAAGCCCCGGGCUCAACCGGGGAACGGCAUCCGGAACUGUCAAGCUAGAGUGCAGGAGAGGAAAGUAGAAUUCCCGGUGUAGCGGUGAAAUGCGUAGAGAUCGGGAGGAAUACCAGUGGCGAAGGCGGCCUUCUGGACUGACACUGACACUGAGGUGCGAAAGCGUGGGUAGCAAACAGGAUUAGAUACCCCUGUAGUC